UACGAGGGGGGCAAGCGUUGUUCGGAAUUAUUGGGCGUAAAGGGUGCGUAGGCGGUUUGAUAAGUUUGAUGUGAAACCUCUGGGCUCAACCCAGAGUCUGCAUCGAAAACUGUCGGGCUUGAGUAUGGGAGAGGUGAGUGGAAUUUCCGGUGUGGCGGUGAAAUGCGUAGAUAUCGGAAGGAACACCUGUGGCGAAAGCGGCUCACUGGACCAUUACUGACGCUGAUGCACGAAAGCUAGGGGAGCAAACAGG
rnacentral:rRNA from 1 species